AUUGAACGCUGGCGGCAGGCUUAACACAUGCAAGUCGAGCGAGCGGCGGACGGGUGAGUAAUGUCUGGGAAACUGCCUGAUGGAGGGGGAUAAUUACUGGAAACGGUAGCUAAUACCGCAUACCAUCAGAUGUGCCCAGAUGGGAUUAGCUAGUAGGUGGGGUAAUGGCUCACCUAGGCGACGAUCCCUAGCUGGUCUGAGAGGAUGACCAGCCACACGGGAACGGGGACACGGUCCAGGCUCCGACGAGAGGCAGCAAUGGGGAAUAUUGCACAAUGGGCGCGAGCCUGAUGCAGCCAAGCCGAGUGUGUGAAGAAGGCCUUCGGGUUGUAAAGCACUUUCAGCGAGGAGGCGUUCCUCGCAGAAGAGGCACCGGCUAACUCCGUGCCAGCAGCCGCGGUAAUAC
rnacentral:rRNA from 1 species